rnacentral:rRNA from 1 species
GUGGGUGAGUAAUGAAUGGGUAACCUUCCCAAAAGACUGGGAUAACGCCUCGAAAGAGGUGCUAAUACCGGAUGUGAUUGCCGAAACCCAAGUUUUGGCAAUUAAAUGAUGGCCUCUAUUUAUAAGCUAUCGCUUUUGAUUGGGCCCAUUUCCCAUUAGCUAGUUGGCAGGGUAAUGGCCUACCAAGGCUUCGAUGGGUAGCCGGUCUGAGAGGAUGUACGGCCACACUGGGACUGAGAAACGGCCCAGACUCCUGCGGGAGGCAGCAGUGGGGAAUCUUCCGCAAUGGACGCAAGUCUGACGGAGCGACGCCGCGUGCAGGAUGAAGGCCUUCGGGUUGUAAACUGCUUUCGAAAGGGAAUAAGUGCAGCAGGCGAAUAGUACUGCUGUUUGACUGUACCUUAGGAAGAAGCUACGGCUAACUCUGUGCCAGCAGCCGCGGUAAUACAGAGGCAGCAAGCGUUGUCCGGAUUCACUGGGCGUAAAGGACGUGUAGGCGGCCCUAUAAGUCGGGUGUGAAAUCGUUCUGCUUAACAGAACAAUAGCUCCCGAUACUGUUUGGCUUGAGUGCAGGAGGGGAAAAUGGAAUUUCCGGUGUAGCGGUGAAAUGCGUAGAUAUCGGAAAGAACACCCGUGGCGAAGGCGGUUUUCUGGCCUGCAACUGACGCUGAGGCGUAAAAGCUAGGGGAGCAAACGGGAUUAGAUACCCCGGUAGUCCUAGCCGUAAACGAUGUACACUAGGUGUGGGGGGUUUAUUCCCUCUGUGCCGCCGGUAACCCAUUAAGUGUACCGCCUGGGAACUACGGCCGCAAGGUUGAAACUCAAAGAAAUUGACGGGGGUCCGCACAAGCGGUGGAGCAUGUUGUUUAAUUCGACGCAACGCGAAGAACCUUACCCGGGUUUGACAUGCUUUUGAAACUCUUAUGAAAGUAGGAGCCUGGCGUAGCAAUACGUCACAAUUGCACAGGUGCUGCAUGGCUGUCGUCAGCUCGUGUCGUGAGAUGUUGGGUUAAGUCCUCUAACGAGCGCAACCCCUAUUGCUAGUUGCCAUCAGGUCAUGCUGGGCACUCUAGCGAUACUGCCUGGGAUAACCAGGAGGAAGGCGGGGAUGACGUCAAGUCCUCAUGGCCCUUAUAUCCGGGGCUACAAACGUGCUACAAUGGCAGAUACAGCGGGUUGCCAAGUCGCGAGACCGAGCUAAUCCCUUUAAAGUCUGUCUCAGUUCGGAUUGGAGUCUGCAAUCGACUCCAUGAAGCUGGAAUCGCUAGUAAUCGCGGAUCAGCUACGCCGCGGUGAAUACGUUCCCGGGCCUUGUACACACCGCCCGUCACGCCACGAAAGCCCGUUGUACUAGAAGACCGCAAUGCAACCCGCAAGGGAGCUAGCGGGACAAGGUAUGACUGGUGAUUGGGGCGAAGUCGUAACAAGGUA